UUCUUCGGAACUUGAGACCGGCGCACGGGUGCGUAACGCGUAUGCAAUCUACCUUUUACAGAGGGAUAGCCCAGAGAAAUUUGGAUUAAUACCUCAUAGUAUUAUGGCUCGGCAUCGAGUUAUAAUUAAAGUCACAACGGUAAAAGAUGAGCAUGCGUCCCAUUAGCUAGUUGGUAAGGUAACGGCUUACCAAGGCUACGAUGGGUAGGGGUCCUGAGAGGGAGAUCCCCCACACUGGUACUGAGACACGGACCAGACUCCUACGGGAGGCAGCAGUGAGGAAUAUUGGACAAUGGGCGCAAGCCUGAUCCAGCCAUGCCGCGUGCAGGGUGACGGUCCUAUGGAUUGUAAACUGCUUUUAUACGAGAAGAAACACUCCUUCGUGAAGGAGCUUGACGGUAUCGUAAGAAUAAGGAUCGGCUAACUCCGUGCCAGCAGCCGCGGUAAUACGGAGGAUCCAAGCGUUAUCCGGAAUCAUUGGGUUUAAAGGGUCCGUAGGCGGUUUAAUAAGUCAGUGGUGAAAGCCCAUCGCUCAACGGUGGAACGGCCAUUGAUACUGUUAGACUUGAAUUAUUAGGAAGUAACUAGAAUAUGUAGUGUAGCGGUGAAAUGCUUAGAGAUUACAUGGAAUACCAAUUGCGAAGGCAGGUUACUACUAAUGGAUUGACGCUGAUGGACGAAAGCGUGGGUAGCGAACAGGAUUAGAUACCCUGGUAGUCCACGCCGUAAACGAUGGAUACUAGCUGU
rnacentral:rRNA from 1 species